CCCGCGGUAGCUCAGCCUGGCAGAGCUUCCGGCUGUAGACCGGAGUGUCGUCGGCUCAAAGUCCGACCCGCGGGA
rnacentral:tRNA from 1 species